CCUACGGGAGGCAGCAGUGGGGAAUAUUGCACAAUGGGCGAAAGCCUGAUGCAGCGACGCCGCGUGAGGGACGACGGCCUUCGGGUUGUAAACCUCUUUCAGCAGGGACGCGGUACCUGCAGAAGAAGCACCGGCUAACUACGUGCCAGCAGCCGCGGUAAUACGUAGGGUGCAAGCGUUGUCCGGAAUUACUGGGCGUAAAGAGUUCGUAGGCGGUUUGUCGCGUCGUUUGUGAAAUCUCACAGCUCAACUGUGAGCUUGCAGGCGAUACGGGCAGACUUGAGUACUGCAGGGGAGACUGGAAUUCCUGGUGUAGCGGUGAAAUGCGCAGAUAUCAGGAGGAACACCGGUGGCGAAGGCGGGUCUCUGGGCAGUACUGACGCUGAGGAACGAAAGCGUGGGUAGCAAACAGGAUUAGAUACCCUUGUAGUC
rnacentral:rRNA from 1 species